UACGUAGGUGGCAAGCGUUGUCCGGAUUUAUUGGGUUUAAAGGGCUCGUAGGCGGCCAACUAAGUCAGACGUGAAAUCCCUCGGCUUAACCGGGGAACUGCGUCUGAUACUGGAUGGCUUGAGUUUGGGAGAGGGAUGCGGAAUUCCAGGUGUAGCGGUGAAAUGCGUAGAUAUCUGGAGGAACACCGGUGGCGAAGGCGGCAUCCUGGACCAACACUGACGCUGAGGAGCGAAAGCCAGGGGAGCAAACGGG
rnacentral:rRNA from 1 species